rnacentral:rRNA from 1 species
UACAGAGGGGGCCAGCGUUAUUCGGAAUUAUUGGGCGUAAAGGGUGCGUAGGCGGUUUGGUAAGUCUUAUGUGAAAUCUACAGGCUCAACUUGUAGUCUGCAUGAGAAACUGCCGGGCUUGAGUAUGGGAGAGGUGAGUGGAAUUCCUGGUGUAGCGGUGAAAUGCGUAGAUAUCAGGAGGAACACCUGUGGCGAAAGCGGCUCACUGGACCAUAACUGACGCUGAUGCACGAAAGCUAGGGGAGCAAACAGG